rnacentral:rRNA from 1 species
AAAACCGCCAUGCAAUGGGAAGACGUGAUGUGGAGUGAAAUAUAGUAACGAAGCCCGUGAGCCAUGCGUCAAGAAAAGCCGCUAUUGUUUAUAUUGUACCCGUACCGUAAACCGACACAGGUGGAUGAGGAGAGAAUCCUAAGGCCGGCGGAAGAAGUAUUGCCAAGGAACUCGGCAAAAUGGCCCCGUAACUUAGGGAGAAGGGGUGCCUGCGAGAGCAGGCCGCAGAGAAUAGGCUCAAGCAACUGUUUAGCAAAAACACAGGUCUAUGCGAAACCGAAAGGUGAGGUAUAUGGGCUGACGCCUGCCCGGUGCUGGAAGGUUAAAAGGAGAGGUUAGACGCAAGUCGAAGCUUUGAAUUUAAGCCCCAGUAAACGGCGGCCGUAACGAUAACGGUCCUAAGGUAGCGAAAUUCCUUGUCGGGUAAGUUCCGACCCGCACGAAAGGCGUAAUGAUUUGAGCGCUGUCUCGGCAAUACAUCCGGUGAAAUUGAAGUGCCAGUGAAGAUGCUGGCUACCCGCGCCAGGACGGAAAGACCCCAUGGAGCUUUACUCCAGUUUGGCACUGGGGUCCGGUGUUGCAUGUACAGGAUAGGUGGGAGGCUGAGAGAUAGUGACGUCAGUUGCUAUGGAGCCGCUGUUGGGAUACCACCCUUGUGAUAUUGGGCUUCUAACCAGCCGCCGUGAACCGGCGGUGGGACAAUGCCAGGCGGGGAGUUUGACUGGGGCGGUCGCCUCCGAAAGGGUAUCGGAGGCGCCCAAAGGUUCCCUCAGAAUGGACGGAAACCAUUCGAAGAGUGCAAAGGCAGAAGGGAGCUUGACUGCGACACCGACGGGUGGAGCAGGUACGAAAGUAGGGCUUAGUGAUCCGGUGGUAUUAAGUGGGAAUGCCAUCGCUCAACGGAUAAAAGCUACCCUGGGAUAACAGGCUUAUCACUCCCAAGAGUUCACAUCGACGGAGUGGUUUGGCACCUCGAUGUCGGCUCAUCGCAUCCUGGGGCUGUAGUAGGUCCCAAGGGUUGGGCUGUUCGCCCAUUAAAGCGGUACGCGAGCUGGGUUCAGAACGUCGUGAGACAGUUCGGUCCCUAUCCGGCGUGGGCGUAGGAUAUCUGAGAGGAGCUGUCCUUAGUACGAGAGGACCGGGAUGGACGGACCGCUGGUGGACCGGUUGGCUUGCCAAAGCCAUGGCCGGGUAGCCAAGUCCGGAAGGGAUAAACGCUGAAGGCAUCUAAGCGUGAAGCCCCCCUCAAGAUGAGAUAUCCCAUUCUUUAAGAAGUAAACCCCCUUGAAGACGACGAGGUAGAUAGGGCAGAGGUGGAAGUGUGGUAACACAUGGAGCUGACUGUUACUAAUCGGGUGAGGGCUUGACC